rnacentral:rRNA from 1 species
CCCUGCCAUUUGUACACACCGCCCGUCGCUGCUACCGAUUGGAUGAUCGGUGAAAUCCUCGGAUAAUAGCAAAUACCUUACUUUUGGUAAGGAUUGCUGUUAGAAGUUGAUUAAACCUUAUCAUCUAGAGGAAGCAAAAGUCGUAACAAG